rfam:Triticum aestivum genome assembly, contig: Triticum_aestivum_CS42_TGACv1_scaffold_592001_7BS
CCAUUGCUCAGUUGGUAGAGUACAAGGCUCUUAACCUUGUAUACAUGGAUUCAAGCCCCAUGAUGGG